CCAAAAUCUAAAUCAAUAAUAGAUAAAAAAGGAAAAAAAAAAACUACCGAUUAAUAUUAUUUCCCCAUCAUUCACGUUUCUCUCUCCCCAUCAUUCAAGUUUUAUAUUUUCUCUUUCUUCAAAUUUCUUUGCAGGUCAAGAAAUACAAAUUAUGAAUUGUUCUCCUAAUUUGUUCAACAAAUCUCUAACUUAACUCAAGAAAUAUCUCAAUUGUUAAAGGGCUCGGGCGAUUUCCCUGGGUUGGGUUCCAAAUCUCCGCCGCCGCCGCUCUAUGGAUGGUUCCGAAAAGACUCUUAUUGAAUCCAUGGAACUUGAUGAAUCAAUUACCGGAUAUAAGUUCUUAAUUGUCCAUUCAUUCUCAAUUCUAAAUAACCAAAAUACUAGUUUAUUUAUGUAUUCAUUAUUAAUGUAUUCAUCCUAAUUGCAUAUAGUAAAACUAAAGUUUUUAUCUUAUUUUGCUUAUUUUGUAUUUACAAUAUCACUUUGUAUACCAAAUAGUUUGUAUUUUA